rnacentral:rRNA from 1 species
UACAGAGGUCUCAAGCGUUGUUCGGAUUCAUUGGGCGUAAAGGGUGCGUAGGUGGCGAGGUAAGUCGGAUGUGAAAGCUCGGAGCUCAACUCCGAAAUGGCAUUGGAAACUACCUUGCUCGAGGGAUGGAGGGGGGACUGGAAUUCUCGGUGUAGCAGUGAAAUGCGUAGAUAUCGAGAGGAACACCAGUGGCGAAGGCGAGUCUCUGGACGACUCCUGACACUGAGGCACGAAAGCUAGGGGAGCAAACAGG